rnacentral:rRNA from 1 species
UACGUAGGGUGCGAGCGUUAAUCGGAAUUACUGGGCGUAAAGUGUGCGCAGGCGGCCGAGCAAGUCGAGUGUGAAAGCCCCGAGCUUAACCUGGGAACUGCGCUCGAAACUACUUGGCUAGAGUGUGGCAGAGGGAGGUGGAAUUCCACGUGUAGCGGUGAAAUGCGUAGAGAUGUGGAGGAACACCGAUGGCGAAGGCAGCCUCCUGGGCCAACACUGACGCUCAUGCACGAAAGCGUGGGGAGCAAACAGG